CCUCCUCAUUUUCAAUCCAAUCGAAGAGAUUGGGAGAAUUCCAUCGCCAUCUUCCAUUAGGAGAGCCGAACAGAGAGGAGAGAACUCCAUCGCCGAACAGAGGGCCAAACCAACCUCCGGCGAGAUCUGCUCCUACUCAUUUUUGGGAUCGAUCUACUUCACUGCUACCAUUAUGGGUUUUUCACAUCAAGCAAUCGGAAUUCAGGAUUUAACAAGUACUUACGAUUCAAUCCACAGGAGAAGCAACAGAAAAAAGGAAAAUUCUCAAAUAAAGCGGACAGAAGCUUGCUUCAAGUUGYGCCCAWGCAAGGKCCAARCACCUUAGCAUCUAUACAGGUUAUUGGAGGCUUGGUUAUAGUUAUAAUGCUUCCUCUUGUGUCACUGACUACACAAUCCGCUUCCUAUGUGUYCACUCAUUUUGAGAUAUCUGAGUCAACUGGGAUAACAAGCAGUGUAUAUGCAGUCAUUCUAUCUGUUCUUGUUAGUCAACUUGAGCAUAUGAGGUAACUUUGCCAUAGUGUCCUCUGCAGACCUUCUAUAUAGAAAUUGAGUAGAAAUCUUGUGGGUGAUAGAUUCAACUGAGUGAUAUUUUCCUGCCAACAUGUGAGCAUUUUGCUUCUCCUGCAUGUGGU